GUUUGCACUUGUCGGGGAAGGGUGAGAACCUUCGAUUAAGGUUCGACUUGAGCGAAAGCGAGAGAACGUUGCCAACGGCAACGGCCCGUAGGGU
rnacentral:sRNA from 2 species